GUGGGUAUAGUUCAGCGGUUAGAGCGCCAGGUUGUGGUCCUGGAUGUCGUGGGUUCGAAUCCCAUUACCCACCCCA
rnacentral:tRNA from 1 species